GUAGGGAGCAAGCGUUGUUCGGAAUUAUUGGGCGUAAAGAGCGCGUAGGCGGCCAGGUAAGUCUGGUGUGAAAUCCCACAGCUCAACUGUGGAACUGCAUUGGAAACUGCUUGGCUAGAGUGCGGGAGAGGAGAGUGGAAUUCCCAGUGUAGAGGUGAAAAUUCGUAGAUAUUGGGAGGAACACCAGUGGCGAAGGCGGCUCUCUGGACCGCAACUGACGCUGAGGCGCGAAAGCUAGGGGAGCGAACGGGAUUAGAUACCCCGGUAGUCCUAGCCGUAAACGAUGGGCACUAGGUGUAGGAGGUAUCGACCCCUUCUGUGCCGUAGCUAACGCAUUAAGUGCCCCGCCUGGGGAGUACGGUCGCAAGACUA
rnacentral:rRNA from 1 species